rnacentral:rRNA from 1 species
CAGUAGCCACGGUAAUACGGAGGGCGCGAGCGUUACCCGGAUUCACUGGGCGUAAAGGGCGUGUAGGCGGCCUGGGGCGUCCCAUGUGAAAGACCACGGCUCAACCGUGGGGGAGCGUGGGAUACGCUCAGGCUAGACGGUGGGAGAGGGUGGUGGAAUUCCCGGAGUAGCGGUGAAAUGCGCAGAUACCGGGAGGAACGCCGAUGGCGAAGGCAGCCACCUGGUCCACCCGUGACGCUGAGGCGCGAAAGCGUGGGGAGCAAACCGGAUUAGAUACCCCUGUAGUCCCUGUCUCUUAUAA